rnacentral:rRNA from 1 species
AGAGUUUGAUCAUGGCUCAGAUUGAACGCUGGCGGCAUGCCUUACACAUGCAAGUCGAACGGCAGCACGGGGGCAACCCUGGUGGCGAGUGGCGAACGGGUGAGUAACGCAUCGGAACGUGCCCAGUAGUGGGGGAUAACCAGUCGAAAGAUUGGCUAAUACCGCAUACGACCUACGGGUGAAAGCGGGGGAUCGCAAGACCUCGCGCUACUGGAGCGGCCGAUGUCUGAUUAGCUAGUUGGUGGGGUAAAGGCUCACCAAGGCGACGAUCAGUAGCUGGUCUGAGAGGACGACCAGCCACACUGGAACUGAGACACGGUCCAGACUCCUACGGGAGGCAGCAGUGGGGAAUUUUGGACAAUGGACGCAAGUCUGAUCCAGCCAUUCCGCGUGCAGGAUGAAGGCCCUCGGGUUGUAAACUGCUUUUGUACGGAACGAAAAGGUUUCUAUUAAUACUAGGAGCUCAUGACGGUACCGUAAGAAUAAGCACCGGCUAACUACGUGCCAGCAGCCGCGGUAAUACGUAGGGUGCAAGCGUUAAUCGGAAUUACUGGGCGUAAAGCGUGCGCAGGCGGUUAUGUAAGACAGAGGUGAAAUCCCCGGGCUCAACCUGGGAACGGCCUUUGUGACUGCAUUGCUGGAGUACGGCAGAGGGGGAUGGAAUUCCGCGUGUAGCAGUGAAAUGCGUAGAUAUGCGGAGGAACACCGAUGGCGAAAGCAAUCCCCUGGGCCUGUACUGACGCUCAUGCACGAAAGCGUGGGGAGCAAACAGGAUUAGAUACCCUGGUAGUCCACGCCCUAAACGAUGUCAACUGGUUGUUGGGUCUUCACUGACUCAGUAACGAAGCUAACGCGUGAAGUUGACCGCCUGGGGAGUACGGCCGCAAGGUUGAACUCAAGGAAUUGACGGGGACCCGCACAGCGUGAUGAUGUGGUUUAUUCGAUGCACGCGAAAACUUACCCACCUUUGACAUGUACGGAGUGCAGAGAUGGCUCGUGCUCGAAAGAGAACCGUAACACAGUGCUGCAUGCUGUCGUCAGCCUCUGGU